UUUAGGAUGACUACGGUAGGUCCUGCCAGUCGUCCUCAUCCGAAAGUGAGGAAUCUUCGCGCCACUCAUCCACAACGUUAAGAUCACCUUGUGGGUCAUAGUCCUCCUCAUCUGAGGAAAGGAAGGUGGUAGAGGGUAGCAAGAUCCCGGUGUUCCACAUGUUUGGGCCGUUUAACCGGUGCCUUGCCUUUUGGUUCUAGAGGCUGGGGGCUUGUACACUUUCAGUGUUGUUUGGACUUCGACAGUUCUGAGCCCGAGGCCUCCGUCAUAUCCGGUGGGCCUGGGUCUCCCUCCA